rnacentral:rRNA from 1 species
GCUCACUGGUCGAGUCGGCCUGCGCGGAAGAUGUAACGGGGCUAAACCAUGCACCGAAGCUGCGGCAGCGACACUAUGUGUUGUUGGGUAGGGGAGCGUUCUGUAAGCCUGUGAAGGUGGCCUGUGAGGGUUGCUGGAGGUAUCAGAAGUGCGAAUGCUGACAUAAGUAACGAUAAAGCGGGUGAAAAGCCCGCUCGCCGGAAGACCAAGGGUUCCUGUCCAACGUUAAUCGGGGCAGGGUGAGUCGACCCCUAAGGCGAGGCCGAAAGGCGUAGUCGAUGGGAAACAGGUUAAUAUUCCUGUACUUGGUGUUACUGCGAAGGGGGGACGGAGAAGGCUAUGUUGGCCGGGCGACGGUUGUCCCGGUUUAAGCGUGUAGGCUGGUUUUCCAGGCAAAUCCGGAAAACUAAGGCUGAGGCGUGAUGACGAGGCACUACGGUGCUGAAGCAACAAAUGCCCUGCUUCCAGGAAAAGCCUCUAAGCAUCAGGUAACAUCAAAUCGUACCCCAAACCGACACAGGUGGUCA